rnacentral:rRNA from 1 species
CCUACGGGAGGCAGCAGUGAGGAAUAUUGGUCAAUGGUCGGGAGACUGAACCAGCCAAGCCGCGUGCGGGAGGAAGGUACAGAGUAUCGUAAACCUCUUUUGUCAGGGAACAAAGGCGGGGACGUGUCCCCGGUUGAGUGUACCUGAAGAAUAAGCAUCGGCUAACUCCGUGCCAGCAGCCGCGGUAAUACGGAGGAUGCGAGCGUUAUCCGGAUUUAUUGGGUUUAAAGGGUGCGCAGGCGGUCUGUUAAGUCAGUGGUCAAAGCCCGGGGCUCAACCCCGGCCCGCCGUUGAAACUGGCAGUCUCGAGUUGGCGGGAAGUAUGCGGAAUGCGCGGUGUAGCGGUGAAAUGCAUAGAUAUCGCGCAGAACUCCGAUUGCGAAGGCAGCAUGCCGGCUCCACACUGACGCUGAGGCACGAAAGUGUGGGUAUCGAACAGGAUUAGAUACCCUAGUAGUC